rnacentral:rRNA from 1 species
CAGCAGGCGCGAAAACUUUACAAUGCGGGAAACCGUGAUAAGGGGACACCGAGUGCCAGCAUCAUAUGCUGGCUGUCCGGGUGUGUAAAAUACACCCGUUAGCAAGGGCCGGGCAAGACCGGUGCCAGCCGCCGCGGUAACACCGGCGGCCCGAGUGGUGAUCGUGAUUAUUGGGUCUAAAGGGUCCGUAGCCGGUUUGGUCAGUCCUCCGGGAAAUCUGAUAGCUCAACUAUUAGGCUUUCGGGGGAUACUGCCAGGCUUGGAACCGGGAGAGGUAAGAGGUACUACAGGGGUAGGAGUGAAAUCUUGUAAUCCCUGUGGGACCACCUGUGGCGAAGGCGUCUUACCAGAACGGGUUCGACGGUGAGGGACGAAAGCUGGGGGCACGAACCGGAUUAGAUACCCGGGUAGUCCCAGCCGUAAACGAUGCUCGCUAGGUGUCAGGCAUGGCGCGACCGUGUCUGGUGCCGCAGGGAAGCCGUGAAGCGAGCCACCUGGGAAGUACGGCCGCAAGGCUGAAACUUAAAGGAAUUGGCGGGGGAG